AUGCCUUCCACAGAAUCGGCCGCCGGCGUGGCCUGGGACCGCCGGCGUGAGCUGCAGGCGUUCGACGACACCAAGGCGGGCGUCAAGGGCCUCGUGGACGCCGGCGUCACGGCCCUCCCGCCCAUCUUCCGCCACUCGCCGGAGUCCCUGGAGAGCAUCACGUCCUCAAACCAUGUCGCGGGGGCCAUCCCGACCGUCGACCUAGCGGCCCCGCGACGCGAGGACGCGGUCGCCCUGGUGCGGCACGCGGCCAGGACGGUGGGCUUCUUUCAGGUGGUCAACCAUGGCGUGCCGGCCGAGCUCAUGGCCGGCAUGCUCGAGGGGGUGCGCCGGUUCAACGAGGGACCCGCCGAGGCGAAGCAGGCCAUCUACAGCAGGGACCAAGCUCGCAAGGUGCGUUUCGCCUCCAACUUCGACCUCUUCUCGUCGGCGGCGGCCAACUGGCGCGACACCCUCUUCUUCCACCUCGCUCCGGACCCGGCACCUUCCGAAGAGCUGCCCGAGGCUGUCAGGGAUGUGGUCACGGAGUACGGCCACGCGGUGACCAAGGUGGGGCUGUCCGUGCUGGAGCUGCUGUCGGAGUCCCUUGGCCUGAGCAGCGACCACCUGCGCGACAUGGACUGCGCGGAGAACCUCAACGCCGUGUGCCAAUACUACCCACCGUGUCCGGAGCCGUAUCUCACUUGGGGCACCAAGAGGCACACCGACCCGGGCUUCCUCACCGUCCUCCUGCAAGACGGCAUGGGCGGCCUCCAGGUGCUCGUCGACGGCAAGACCUGGGUGGAUGUCCCUCCCGUGCCCGGCGCUUUCAUCAUCAACAUCGGCGACCUUCUUCAGGCAUGCAUAUCAACCCUCCAUCUCCAUCCAUCUCGCUAUAAGUUGUACUUCCUCCAUCCCGAAGUACUUGUCGGAGAAAUAAUAUAUACAUGCAACUCUGAUGAUGUGCAGCUCGUCAGCAAUGACCAGUUCAGGAGNNNNNNNNNNAGCUGA
rnacentral:rRNA from 1 species